CAGGCCUCUGCAGGCGAUAGGGGCCGACCUGGUGCGCGCACCCAGCCAGCUGGCCUGGCGGGAGGUGGGAGCGGGAAGAGCGUACUCGGACCCGGCUCAGGCUGGCUGCCCUUGCUUUCCCUGGAGUACCGAGGACACCUGAACCCUGUCCACAUCCCGACCCAUCGGCUUCUCUGAGGGCUCCCCGACAAGAUCCAGUGCUCACUGGUGCCACUGGGCAAGGCAGAGCUAUCCGCCUACGCGCGCCCCCUGCUGGACAAUGCGGGUGAUGACACCAACAACGCUGGGGCAUCCCACUUGAAAAAGGUUUGCGUCAGUUUUGUGGUCCAGAGUCACCGAAAUCUACCCAUUCCACCAUUUGAGCUUCAAACAAAAUAAAGAAACUUAACUAGGAAAGAGCUCUGUGGUUGUCUGGCAAAGAGCUUUGCAUUAGAUGUUGAGAGGUGGAAAUCAGAGCCUAGCCUCACCGUCUCCCAGUACACUGGGAAAACCCUCCACACUGGGAGAGGCCAGUUUCCUCAUUUUAGCUUAAAUGAAUUGCUCUCACAGACAGUCUUCUAGGGCGGGGAGGACUUUCUUGGAGCCCUCUUAUCCUGUAUCUCCACCCAGGUGAACUGACCCAGGUCACUCUGCGCUAGGGGACGCUGGGGAAUGCUCUCCCGCUCUCAGACCUUCUUUUUUGUUUGUUUGUUUGUUUGUUUGUUUGUUUGUUUUCCGGUACCGG